GACGAACGCUGGCGGCGUGCUUAACACAUGCAAGUCGAACGGAAAGGCCCUGCUUUUGUGGGGUGCUCGAGUGGCGAACGGGUGAGUAACACGUGAGUAACCUGCCCUUGACUUUGGGAUAACUUCAGGAAACUGGGGCUAAUACCGGAUAGGAGCUCCUGCUGCAUGGUGGGGGUUGGAAAGUUUUGGCGGUUGGGGAUGGACUCGCGGCUUAUCAGCUUGUUGGUGGGGUAGUGGCUUACCAAGGCUUUGACGGGUAGCCGGCCUGAGAGGGUGACCGGCCACAUUGGGACUGAGAGACGGCCCAGACUCCUACGGGAGGCAGCAGUGGGGAAUAUUGCACAAUGGGCGGAAGCCUGAUGCAGCAACGCCGCGUGCGGGAUGACGGCCUUCGGGUUGUAAACCGCUUACGCCUGUGACGAAGCGUGAGUGACGGUAAUGGGUAAAGAAGCACCGGCUAACUACGUG
rnacentral:rRNA from 1 species